rnacentral:rRNA from 1 species
UACGGAGGAUGCGAGCGUUAUCCGGAUUUAUUGGGUUUAAAGGGUGCGUAGGUGGUUAAUUAAGUCAGCGGUGAAAGUUUGUGGCUCAACCAUAAAAUUGCCGUUGAAACUGGGGGACUCGAGUUGGAGAGAAGCAGGCGGAAUGCGCGGUGUAGCGGUGAAAUGCAUAGAUAUCACGCAGAACUCCGAUUGCGAAGGCAGCUUACUAAACUAUAACUGACACUGAAGCACGAAAGCGUGGGGAUCAA